rnacentral:rRNA from 1 species
CCUACGGGAGGCAGCAGUGGGGAAUUUUGGACAAUGGGGGCAACCCUGAUCCAGCCAUGCCGCGUGCAGGAUGAAGGUCUUCGGAUUGUAAACUGCUUUUGUCAGGGACGAAAAGGGAUGCGAUAACACCGCAUUCCGCUGACGGUACCUGAAGAAUAAGCACCGGCUAACUACGUGCCAGCAGCCGCGGUAAUACGUAGGGUGCAAGCGUUAAUCGGAAUUACUGGGCGUAAAGCGUGCGCAGGCGGUUCUGUAAGAUAGGUGUGAAAUCCCCGGGCUCAACCUGGGAACUGCACUUAUGACUGCAGGACUGGAGUUUGUCAGAGGAGGGCGGAAUUCCAAGUGUAGCAGUGAAAUGCGUAGAUAGUUGGAAGAACACCGAUGGCGAAGGCAGCCCUCUGGGACAUGACUGACGCUCAUGCACGAAAGCGUGGGGAGCAAACAGGAUUAGAUACCCCAGUAGUC